rnacentral:rRNA from 1 species
UACGGGGGGGGCAAGCGUUGUUCGGAAUUACUGGGCGUAAAGGGCGCGUAGGCGGCCUUUUAAGUCGGACGUGAAAUCCCUCGGCUUAACCGAGGAACUGCGUCCGAUACUGAAAGGCUUGAAUCCGGGAGAGGGAUGUGGAAUUCCGGGUGUAGCGGUGAAAUGCGUAGAUAUCUGGAGGGACACCGGUGGCGAAGGCGGCAUCCUGGACCGGUAUUGACGCUGAGGCGCGAAAGCUAGGGGAGCAAACAGG